UAGGAUAGUGGCUAGGCUGACCGGAGUGUC
rnacentral:sRNA from 1 species